rnacentral:lncRNA from 1 species
UUUAUACAAACGAAACCAAAGGAGAAAACAGGUGAAGAAGACGCUCUAUCUGCAAUUCAAAUCUCAAGUCGAACCGCGGUAAUAAACAAUCUCUCUCUCUCUCUCUCUCUCUCUCUCUCUCUCUCUCUCUCUCUCUCUCUCUCUCUCUCUCUCUCUCUCUCUCUCUCUCUCUCUCUCUUUAUACUACUGAAUCAUCGUUAUUAACUAGGUAUUUGGGUGUUUUGUUGUCAGAGAUUUGAAAGCUUUCAUCAAUCGAAGAAAUCCUUCUCAUGACGGUUUUCAAUACAGGUUAGUUUUUCUUCUUCACUACAAACUCUUUUGUUUUCUUCUUCUGAACUUCGAUUUUGCUUCUAUUAUGACCGAGUAGUUAGGGUUUAUUCUUAGUCGUCUUGAGUAUAGUUUUAUUUGUAUGUAUAUUUCCACUUAUUGUUACAAACGGUUCAGUUGAUUCAUAGUUAUAGUUGCAAUUCAGGGUAAACUCAUUCAUAGCAAAAGAUUUCAAGUGAAAUCUGUAUCUGUAUGUGUUAUUUUAAAACAAAUAAUUACUUCCAGGAUCCUAACAAUGGAAUAAAGUUUGGGUAAAUUAGAUAAUUAUAUCGAAACAAAAUUUAUGAUUUUUAUUUUACUGGUGGACUACUAUUGUACAGAUUAAUUUUUUGAGAUAAGCCUCAAUAUGAUGUGUGAGCCAAUAGACCUAAAACAUAGGAGAAUUUUACAAAUUUGUAAAAUUAGAAUCAAUGUCCUCGCCUCCUUGGGAAUAGGAACUAGAAAUGGUGGUUUAGUGUAAUGUUUGUUGAAAUGUUAAUGUUUUGCUCAAUUGUAUUAUCUCUAAACUAGAUGUUGGUUACAGAAGUGGAAAACCUCUAUGGAAAGUGUAUGAGCGAGUGGGGACUGCUGAAUGCUGAUGUAGAGGCUAUGCUUUCCAGAUUUGGGCCAAUCUUCUAUGGUGAGAAGUCAUCAAUUUUAGUCUUUUGCUACAGCUUAUUACUUUGCACAACUCUUUGUUGUAGGUGCCAUUUCCAUUUUUUCAAUUCAUUACUUCAUGCAAAGAAUGUUUUGGAAAAUGAGAUCGUCAUUCUGGUGUUUGUGUUGAGUCAGAUAACUUUAGACUAUCAAAUUCUAUUGAUGGAAACUUGUUUGGCUUCCGUGGAUCUGAGUUAUCAAGUUUAUCUAAUGCUAGGUAAUGGAUGGAAUUCAUCGAAAUGAAUUCUUACUGUUUAUUUUUUAGGUGUGUAGGCCUAAUAGGGAUAAGGAAACAAUGUUAAAAAGAGAUGUUGGGGUGCUAAAAGUGUAAGAUUCUCUAACUGUUAAAAAGUAAAGUAGUAUCCAUCCCGUGAAAGAUCGGAAUCUAUGCUCUUUACUAAGUUACAACACAUCAUUUACACUUGCUUUUAGGCCAAGUCUGGUCCAUUUCUGCUACAUCUGAUUCUGAGCUAAUAGUCCCAUUUAUAAUUACUAUCUCCUCCUUUUAAAAGUUUAAAUGUUCCCUAUUCAAAUACGACAUGCAAAUCAUUACCACCAUUAGUAUUCAGAUUGUCGUCCUAAUAUUACUUGUUAAUUUGUUAUAUCACUUAUGUAAGCAUCACUCCUUGUGUUUGUGUAUUUGAUUAGUUACUUAGUACUCUUUAGAUGCAACAGCUCUGAAAUGAACAUUGGGUUUUAAGAUGAAGUCUGAUUAAAAAAAAUAAAAAAAUGUCAUGCAGGUGCGAAUAUUAAAUUUGGAGAACAAAGAAAGGUCUCUGUUAGAGUCUUUUGAGAGGAGGCAUCCAAAUGGUAUGUGCAUUUUAAUAAGUUUUAAACAUAACAAUCAAUUUGUUUGUUCUUUGCUGUUAUUUUGUCUUGAAGCUAUUAAACUAAAAAACAAGUUCUCAUGCAGGUCCUAAUACUGAAUUUGGCGAACAAAGAAAGUUCUCAGUUAGAGUCUUUUGAGAGGAGUCAACCAAAUGGUAUGUAAGUUUUAAACGUAACAAGCAAUUUGUUUGUUCUUUGCUGUUAUUUAUUUUGUCUUGAAGCGAUUAAACUAAAAAACAAGUUCUCAUGCAGGUCACUUGCCAAAAAUAAGUUCUCGUGCAGGUCCUAAUAUUGAAUUCGGGGAACAAAGAAAGGUCUCAGUUAGAGUCUUUUGAGAGGAGGCAUCCAAAACAAAAAGCAAUGAAAACUAAAAAGCAAGUGAUCUGAGUCAGUCUUUACCAUUGAUGUCUUUUUACUUUACCUUUCUUGUUUUUUGUUUUUAAUUUUGCCCAUCAUUCAUUUUAUUAUUGAUCCAUUCCAAUAAGUUUGAAACGUAACAAGACAUUUGUUGCUUCUUUCCGCCCAGUCAACAUCUUUUAAUUUCUUUUAUGAUGCUAUGGUAAUUAUUCCUUAAAACUGGAAGAGUUUCGAAUAAUAAUAAUGAUUACAACGAGCUUGUUCUUCAGGCUUUUCGUGCCUCAUUUUAACUCCAUGUAUGUCUCACACACCAGUCUGAAAGGUAAUUGAACAUAUGAAUCAUUUUCUCGAGAGAAAGCCACCUAAAUUAAGAUCCAAGACUGGUUUAGUUCACAAAAAUCACCUAUGUUGACUACCAACCCGACAUAGGUUUGUUUAAUUUUUCCUUUCAAAAGAAAAUAUUUAUGAGAAUUUGAUGUUUUUAGCUUGAAAGAAAUAUUAUGCUUCUCAUGAAAACAGUUUGAAAUUUGUCUUGAUUUUGCAACUCCUUUCCCAUAGACUUUGAAUAAACUAAUAAAUAAGCACCCUUCUGUUUUAUAUGUAGCAUGAUUUUGAGGACAUUUAAAAAUUAAUGAAUCAAGCUUACUCCCUGUGCCAUAGAAUACUACUUUAACUUUGCCCCAUGCUAUUCCAUUCUUAUUUUCAUAUUAUUAAACCGUAGGAAGUCAUUCUGAUCAAGAUUUAUUUUGGAGAGGCCUUUCUUUUGUGAUGUGUACACUUUAUGCGCUUAUAGCUGGUCUAGUCUAGCAAAACGUCCUGCUUCUUUUAUUGAUUAUUUUAGAUUAUUAUGCAUGCCUUAGAGUUCUACAUGAUCAUAUUAUUCUCACUGUCCAAGAUUAUAUAGUUUUUAAAUACUUCAUCCUGAAUAAACAUUUGGUAUUGAUUAUUAAUAUUGAUAUUUGUUCAUUGUUCUCAGUUGUUCUCUGCCCCCCAUCGACGUGCCCAUUGUUAUACGCAAUGCCUAUAUAGGGCAAGGCUUCAAAUCACAAGUACACUGCCUGUCUAAUUAUAGGUUUGUCUUAGAAGCAUAUAUAAUAGCUACUAAGCCUACAAUGUCAAAUUCAUAUCUGUUAAAUGUAAAUAAAAUGCUUAAGUUUCCUUCUCAUGUUUUGUGUUGAUUCAUAUCUUUUGGUAGUUCUGUGGACUAGAAAGACCCUGAUUAUGCAAUUCAUUCAAGAGCAAAACACUCAUCGGACUACACCCAAAAAGUGACUGUCUUGCGCUGGCGGUUCACUUUUUAGACUUGAGGGUUGUAAUGUUUUUCUGUUGUAUAAGGUAUGUAAUGUUUGGAAUGUUGUGAUUCACUCACGUCACCACUUCUGUAUCUUUCCCUCUAUGAAUAAAAGUCCCAAAUUAUCAAAAAAAAAAUAAAAAAAAUAAAAAUAAAAAUCAUCUAAGCUUUCAAUUGAAUAAAAGUAUAAAACAUAUUAAUCAUCUAGAAUUAUCCUUAAUAAGUUAAAUAGUUUACAUGAGUCCAACCUUUUCAAUCUCACAUUAGUCCAUCCCCCUUAAAUAUCCAACCUUUUUCAAUCUCACAUGCAAUGUUACUCUAAAAUAUUAUCUGCUUAUUGAAUACCAAAGUUGACCUCAUCUUCUACUUUGGUUCUAGUCAUAAAUUUAUCUCUUUCCUGUCCAGCCAUUCUGUCUAGUUACCCAUCGAACGAAAACGUUUAAACCAGUGAAUGAAGAUGGAAAGGUUGUGUAAAUAUAACUUAAAUGUCUAACAAAUUUUUGUUGGUAGUUGUUUGUUAGAGGAGUCUACAGUAUGUGAUGGUAUUGUAAACUUACUGUAAAAAUUGUAAAUCUUUGCUUCCAAAUUGCUCAAUGUGAUAAUUUACCUGCAUGAACCACUUAGUUGACUAGCAUUCUGUGUAAACUAGUGUAGGAAUGUAAGUAACUUCUGUUUUUUUCCCCUAUUUAUUUAUUUAUUUAUUAGUGAACUGUGUCUUGAUUAACUCCAGCAAAAUCAAGCUUUAUCCUAAGGGGGCUGCUUGGGAUUGCUUAAUUAUUUUUCAGAAGUGAAAGAAAAAUCAAUAAUCUGCAGGCAAUAUAUGUGGGGUACAAGUUAUGUGUAAGGAAUCAAUUGCUUGGUCAACACAUCUCACGUCAAGGUGAUUCUAUCGUUGUCUGCAGUUUAUAUAUUUUUUCAAUUUUUCUGUUAUCAUCUGUUUUUUUUUUUUUUUUACAUGUGCCUUUUAACAGAAUUUUGAGACCUUUCUUGAUUUGCGAUGGUGAUUUUUAUAUUACAUGUGCAGAUAGGUUCAGUGCCUCCAAUUGCGAUGUGGUAGGCUUGUGGAACGUGGUUUUCCCAGUGUCCUAAAACAGUUUACUUGGUGAACUGCAUUAUAGAUGCAGAAGUUACUGUCCUUGGAUCAGCUAGCAGCUUAAUAUAAAGUUAACCUUUUGUUUUGUUAUUCAUGAUCAAGGUGCGUUUUGCUUUCAUUAAGCUGAUAUUCUUCUAGGAAAAUAGUAACUACUAGUGGAUUGCAAGUGCAUUUAGACUUGACAUAACUUGUUGCUGUUAUUCUUAAUAUAUACGGCUCAUGGUUUUUUGACAUCUUGAACUGUUUCACAGACAUGCGAUCAUUUUUGUAUCUAAAAAUUUGUCUAGAAUAACUAUAAAUUACAAAAAAAUUAAAAAAAUGCAUUGGUGUAAGAAACAAUAAAUUCAAACUUUACAAGUACAAUGGAAUAGAGAGGAAUCUUUAUGUAUCUUAUGUCGAAGGUGUUGUUUUCUUUCACACCUUCAGCCUUUUAUGUAAUGCAGAUUCUUGAUAAAUAAAAGUAUUAUUUGGCCAAAUGCAGAUUCUUGAUAAAUAAAAGUAUUAUUUGGCCAAAAAUAGAUUCUUUGAGACGAUAUCCUAUCAUUUGUCAGAUCAUGAUUGUUAUGCACAUCCUGAAAGCUAUAUGACUCAUGUGACGCCCUUAAAUUGAGGAGAUAUACAUUUCAUUUUAUUUGUAUUAAUGGCUCUAACCAAAUUGAGUUGAGGUUGACAUGAUCCUACUGACAAAAAUUUUAGUGUGUACAGUCUGCUUUUCCAACAUUGUAUGACCUCAGAAUGUUCCCGUAACCAUAAUAUCAGAAAGUACUGUAUUAUGCCAUUUGUUUACUGUAAGUAGCUAAGUCUUGGGUAUGUGGCUGCAGGAAUUGUCUUUACUUGAAAGGAAACGGAAGCAAAGGUGGAAAAGAUCAUACUCUUUUUGGUCAAUAGAGUGUAUAGAAGUUCCUAGUUUCUGGUUGCAAGUUCAUCUAAUUUUCUAUUUAAUCAGCUGAUGGACAAGUGCAUGGUACUUGAGGGCAGUUAUUGUACAACUUAAUCCUGUACUUUGUAGACAAUUUUAGUAACUAUGUUUUGUAAUAUUGCCUUGUCAGACAUCCAAGCUUUGAAGCAGUGUCUGAGGAACAAUUUAUUCAGGAUUUUAGGAAAUGGGUGUAGAGAGGACCAAUGUGGACCUCGGGAUAGAAGGUAAUCUUUAUUUUAAAAAGACCCUCAUUUAGGUUUUUUGGCGAAAUGUAUGUAAAGAUCAUAUCACAAAAGUCCAAUUAGCUAUUUUGGUCCCUUAACUUUGCUCAAAUUUUCAGUUGAGUCCUCAAAGUUUAAACUGCUCAAUUUGGUCCUAAAUCUUUCAAAACGUUUGUAAAAUGGUCUCAUCGUUGCCAAGCAUUUAAUAAAGUUGUCUAGUGGUAGUUUACUAUCACACGUGGUCUGUUAAAUUCAAAUUUUAAUAUUUUUUUUGCCAAGUCAGCCGAGCACAUGAGUGGCACGAGCAACAUCAUAUUGUUUAAAAAUAGAACACAAACCCAAACUGUGUAAAAAUAGAACCAAUUUUGUAAAAAAAAGAAUUGUUAAAUGUUUGGUAACGGUGAGACCAUUUUGCAAACAUUUCAAAAGAUUUUGGACCAAAUUGACCUAAUCAAUUGAAAAUAAGUUAGGGGACCAAAAUAGCUAAUUUAUCCCUUCAAGUGUUACUGCUUAAGCCAAAAACCGAUUUACUCGCCAAGAGUAAUCUGCAUAUUAGCAAUGGAUCAUUGCAGAUCGGAUGGGGCUAUAAGCAUGCCUGACAAUAAAAUUAGAGAUACAGGGAAGAGGAGAUGAUGUUAAUUUGCCCGACAAACAUUGAAACAACAACAUAGGAACGAUGUAUGUGGCAAUAUAAGAAAUGUUUUUACCAAACCAACCACCCAUUAGUAAUGAAAUGUCAAUUUGGCCGACCAAAUUUUAAUUCUAUUUCUCUGUGGUUUGUUCACACUUAGAAAUAUCACAAUGAUAUCGACAAGUCUACAUAUAUUGAUACUAAAAUUCAGGAAUGGUCUAAUUCAUUUGAUGAAGUAAUCUAUUUGAAUGGAAAAAAAGGCUAA